UUCCUUUUUCUGUCCUCCUUUUUUUCAUUCUCCUUCUUCCUUCUCGUAGAGGGGGAACAGAAGGAGGAAGAAGAGGAAGAGGAGGAAGAAAAAGAAUAAUAAAGAGGAAAUAACUU
rnacentral:ribozyme from 1 species